rnacentral:rRNA from 1 species
UACGUAGGGGUCGAGCGUUGUCCGGAGUUACUGGGCGUAAAGCGCGUGCAGGUGGCUCAUUACGCCCGGCGUGAAAGCCCCCGGCUCAACCGGGGAGGGUCGUCGGGGACGGGUGAGCUUGAGGAUAGCAGGGGCUGGUAGAAUUCCCGGUGUAGUGGUGAAAUGCGUAGAGAUCGGGAGGAAUACCCGUGGCGAAGGCGGCCAGCUGGGCUACACCUGGACACUGAGACGCGAAGGCGUGGGGAGCGAACGGGG